UAGUUUGAUGGCGACCGGCAAACGGGUGCGGAACACGUACACAACCUUCCUUUAAGUGGGGAACAGCCCAGAGAAAUUUGGAUUAAUACCCCGUAACACAACGAAGUGGCAUCACUUUGUUGUUAUAGUUUCGGCGCUUAAUGAUGGGUGUGCGUAUGAUUAGAUAGUUGGCGAGGUAACGGCUCACCAAGUCUACGAUCAUUAGCUGAUGUGAGAGCAUGAUCAGCCACACGGGCACUGAGACACGGGCCCGACUCCUACAGGAGGCAGCAGUAAGGAAUAUUGGUCAAUGGACGCAAGUCUGAACCAGCCAUGCCGCGUGAAGGAUUAAGGUCCUCUGGAUUGUAAACUUCUUUUAUAUGGGACGAAAAAAGGUCUUUCUAGACCCCUUGACGGUACCAUAUGAAUAAGCACCGGCUAACUCCGUGCCAGCAGCCGCGGUAAUACGGAGGGUGCAAGCGUUAUCCGGAUUCACUGGGUUUAAAGGGUGCGUAGGCGGGUAGGUAAGUC
rnacentral:rRNA from 1 species